rnacentral:rRNA from 1 species
GACAGAGGCCCCAAGCGUUAGGCGGAAUCACUGGGCUUAAAGCGUGUGUAGGCGGAUCGUUAAGUGUCUUGUGAAAUCCCACGGCUCACCCGUGGAACUGCUGGGCAUACUGGCGAUCUUGGGCCAACUAGGGGCAGUCGGAACAAGCGGUGGAGCGGUGAAAUGCGUAGAUAUCGCUUGGAACGCCGAAGGUGAAAACAGACUGCUGGGGUUGCGCCGACGCUGAGACACGAAAGCCGGGGGAGCAAACGGG